rnacentral:rRNA from 1 species
CACGUAGUUAGCCGGCGCUUCUUUACCCACUACCCUCACCACAACCAAUGUUGCGGCUUGACCAUGAGCGAAAGAGGUUUACAACCCGAAGGCCUCCAUCCCUCACGCGGCGUCGCUGCAUCAGGCUUUCGCCCAUUGUGCAAUAUUCCCCACUGCUGCCUCCCGUAGGAGUCUGGGCCGUAUCUCAGUCCCAAUGUGACCGGUCACCCUCUCAGGCCGGCUACCCGUCAAAGCCCUUGGUAGGCCAUCACCCCACCAACAAGCUGAUAGGCCGCGAGCCCAUCCCCCACCAGAAAAAACCUUUCCACCAACCCCCAUGCGAAGAUCAGUGAAUAUCCAGUAUUAGCACCCGUUUCCGGGCGUUAUCCCAAAGAAGGGGCAGGUUACUCACGUGUUACUCACCCGUUCGCCACUCAUCCACCCAACAAAAGCUAGGCUUCAGCGUUCGACUUGCAUGUGUUAAGCACGCCGCCAGCGUUCGUCCUCGUAGCCACGGAGUCAAACUACU